AUUGAACGCUGGCGGCAUGCCUUACACAUGCAAGUCGAACGGCAGCACGGGUGCUUGCACCUGGUGGCGAGUGGCGAACGGGUGAGUAAUACAUCGGAACAUGUCCUGUAGUGGGGAUAGCCCGGCGAAAGCCGGAUUAAUACCGCAUACGAUCUACGGAUGAAAGCGGGGGACCUUCGGGCCUCGCGCUAUAGGGUUGGCCGAUGGCUGAUUAGCUAGUUGGUGGGGUAAAGGCCAACCAAGGCGACGAUCAGUAGCUGGUCUGAGAGGACGACCAGCCACACUGGGACUGAGACACGGCCCAGACUCCUACGGGAGGCAGCAGUGGGGAAUUUUGGACAAUGGGCGAAAGCCUGAUCCAGCAAUGCCGCGUGUGUGAAGAAGGCCUUCGGGUUGUAAAGCACUUUUGUCCGGAAAGAAAUCCUUGGCCCUAAUACGGUCGGGGGAUGGCGGUACCGGAAGAAUAAGCACCGGCUAACUACGUG
rnacentral:rRNA from 1 species